UACGUAGGGUGCAAGCGUUGUCCGGAAUCAUUGGGCGUAAAGGGCGCGUAGGUGGCCCGGUCAGUCUUUGGUGAAAGCGCGGGGCUCAACCCUGCGUCGGCCAGGGAUACUGCCGCGGCUCGAGCACUGUAGAGGCAGGCGGAAUUCCGGGUGUAGCGGUGGAAUGCGUAGAGAUCCGGAAGAACACCGGUGGCGAAGGCGGCCUGCUGGGCAGUUUGGCUGACACUGAGGCGCGACAGCAUGGGGAGCAAACAGG
rnacentral:rRNA from 1 species